AAGUAGAAACCAUGAGGUUACCAUGUCACACUAAGUCCCACAUGACCAAAACCUCAUAGCUCACACACUCUUGAUCCUAGUGUGCACAACGAGGGGCUUUUCUCCACAAGCCUCAUGUGAUGAACUAUUCCUAACCCUAAUUCCAACACACACACACACACACAUUUUCUAUUUUAAAGUUCCCAUUCAUUUAUCUCACUCACAACGUUGUACGAAAACCUGAGACAAGACCACGGCAGCUCACGUCAGCCCACAAUCCUCAAACCACAUCCAGUAACAUCAUCCAAUAAAAAGGAAACGUUCAUCCAAACAGUAAUAGGGGGUGCAGGCGGUGCGGGGCGUCCAUGGCACCCACGUUGGGGUGGGGGAUUAGCAAGAGACGUCGCGGCGUCACACACUUGUCACGACGCAG
rnacentral:lncRNA from 1 species